UCAAAGAGAAGGAAGAAGAAGACGAGAAGAAGAGAAAGUCAGAGAGAAAUGUUUAUGCUUCUUCAUUGAUUCCCAGUCUCGGCAGGGAUGAGCAACCCCUUCUGAUCCUACGAGUUAUCGUUUUCAAGAUGAAGCCGCGCCAGUUUUUCAGUGUGGCUAGCCUUCUUCAUGAUGUGCAGAUUAGAUUAGUUCAUUAAACUAUGUAAUGGGCAAUAAGGUAUGGGCAUAAUGUGUGGGAUCUAGUGGUGCUUAUCAUUUGCUUUGUUCAUUAGUGCGUUAGGUAAUCCUGUGUCUCAUCCCCUCCCGAUUAUUUUCGGGCCAGGACAAGACCCGUCCCAAUAUGAUCGGGACAAUACCGGACCAAUCGAGAUAGGUCCAGAUUGAACACCCCUAAGUGCGUAUCAUUGAGUUGGUUAUUAUUUUU